ACCGGGUGCGGUGGCAUGUGCCUGUAAUCCAAGUCACUGGGAGGCUGAGGUUGGUGGAUCAAGUGAGCUGAGGAGCUCUGGGCUGCAGCACGCUAUGUCGAACGGGUGUCCACGCUAAGUUCGGUAUCGAUAUGGUGUUCCUGGGGGAGCCUGGGACCACCAGGUUGUCUAAGGAGGGGUGAACCGGCCCAGGUCGGAAACGAAGCAGGUCAAAUCCCCCGUGCUGUCCAGUAGUGGGAUAAUACCUGUGAGUAGAUGCUGCAGUGCAGCCUUGGCAAAACAUCGAGACCUAAUCUUUU
rnacentral:SRP_RNA from 1 species